AUACGUAGGUGGCAAGCGUUGUCCGGAUUUAUUGGGCGUAAAGCGAGCGCAGGCGGUCUCUUAAGUCUGAUGUGAAAGCCCCCGGCUCAACCGGGGAGGGUCAUUGGAAACUGGGAGACUCGAGUGCAGAAGAGGAGAGUGGAAUUCCAUGUGUAGCGGUGAAAUGCGUAGAUAUAUGGAGGAACACCAGUGGCGAAGGCGGCUCUCUGGUCUGUAACUGACGCUGAGGCUCGAAAGCGUGGGGAGCAAACAGGAUUAGAUACCCUGGUAGUCCACGCCGUAAACGAUGAGUGCUAAGUGUUGGAGGGUUUCCGCCCUUCAGUGCUGCAGCUAACGCAUUAAGCACUCCGCCUGGGGAGUACGGCCGCAAGGCUGAAACUCAAAGGAAUUGACGGGG
rnacentral:rRNA from 1 species